ACGUACACUCCUGCGGGAGGCAGCAGUGGGGAAUAUUGGACAAUGGGCGAAAGCCUGAUCCAGCAAUGCCGCGUGAGUGAUGAAGGCCUUAGGGUUGUAAAGCUCUUUUACCCGGGAUGAUAAUGACAGUACCGGGAGAAUAAGCCCCGGCUAACUCCGUGCCAGCAGCCGCGGUAAUACGGAGGGGGCUAGCGUUGUUCGGAAUUACUGGGCGUAAAGCGCGCGUAGGCGGCUUUGUAAGUUAGAGGUGAAAGCCCGGAGCUCAACUUCGGAAUGGCCUUUAAGACUGCAUCGCUAGAAUCGUGGAGAGGUGAGUGGAAUUCCGAGUGUAGAGGUGAAAUUCGUAGAUAUUCGGAAGAACACCAGUGGCGAAGGCGACUCACUGGACACGUAUUGACGCUGAGGUGCGAAAGCGUGGGGAGCAAACAGGAUUAGAUACCCGAGUAGUCCCAUGAU
rnacentral:rRNA from 1 species